rnacentral:rRNA from 1 species
CAAUAGCGUAUAUUAAUGUUGUUGCAGUUAAAAAGCUCGUAGUUGGAUUUCUGAUGGGAGCCCUGGUCACUCUAACGAGUGUACUGAUGUGGCGUCUUGUCGUUUCAUGGGGAUGCUUGCUGGUAUUAAGUUAUCGGCUUGUGGAUCCAUGUCGUUUACUGUGAAAAAAUUAGAGUGUUCAAAGCAGGCCAUCGCUGUGAAUACAUUAGCAUGGAAUAAUAAGAUAGGACUGUGGUGCUAUUUUGUUGGUUUGCGUACUACGGUAAUGAUUAAUAGGGAUAGUUGGGGGUAUUCAUAUUCAAUUGUCAGAGGUGAAAUUCUUGGAUUUAUGGAAGAUGAACUACUGCGAAAGCAUUUACCAAGGAUGUUUNCAUUAA